rnacentral:rRNA from 1 species
UACGUAGGGUGCAAGCGUUGUCCGGAAUUAUUGGGCGUAAAGAGCGUGUAGGCGGUUUGGUAGGUCCGUUGUGAAAACUCGAGGCUCAACCUCGAGACGCCGAUGGAAACCAUCAGACUAGGGUCCGGAAGAGGAGAGUGGAAUUCCUGGUGUAGCGGUGAAAUGCGCAGAUAUCAGGAAGAACACCCGUGGCUAAGGCGGCUCUCUAGUACGGUACUGACGCUGAGACGCGAAAGCGUGGGGAGCGAACAGG